rnacentral:rRNA from 1 species
AUGCAUAGGCUUAGUUUACUUCGACGAGCAAUUUCUUUAUGUUUCUUUUAUCAUGCUCUUCAAACUAGAGGUGUUCGGUUCUUCCAUACCAUUCAAGAGGAAAAUGAUUCAUUGGCCAAAGAUUUGGUCCAUGGUCCAGCCAAACAAAUUCGCAAAACUUUGAAGUCAAACUCCACUGAAGUAAUAACUUCUGGACAAGGUUCUAGUUUAUGGGAUGAUCCCUAUUUUGUGGCACACCUAACACAUUCUGGAGGUCCCAAUGACAACUAUUAUGGCUUACAUGCCACCAUGGAUGUGUAUGGCCAUGAACUAAAACAUGGCCAGUUGAGUUCGACUACUUUUUGGAUUAAUCAUGCCGGAGAUGGUAAAAAAUCAAGCUAUAAUGCGAUUCAAGUUGGCUGGCAUGACAAAAAAAGUGGAGAUUGGUGGGUGUAUUAUGGCUUCAAUAAAAGCCCUACAGGCGUGGGAUACUUCCCAAGGUCGUUGUUCAGCUACUUAGCAGAAAAGGCAGACAUAAUGCAAUUUGGUGCAUUUGUUCAAGCUAAAAAAGCACUUCCAACUCCUCCAAUGGGCAGUGGUGCCCUCCCAAAUGGUGGUAAGGGUCGCGCCGCAUCAUUCACAGACAUUAGAUUCAUUGACCAGGAUGGAAAUAGCAGCCCAAUCAAGGAAGACCUGCCCAUGUUUGUUACUGAUAGAAAAUGCCACGCUAUCACCCAUAUUGAUCAUGCUGCAUGCUUUUAUGGUGGUCCUGGAGGUUGUAUGAGAUAA